rnacentral:rRNA from 1 species
AGUGAACGCUGGCGGUAGGCCUAACACAUGCAAGUCGAACGGCAGCACCGUAAGAGCUUGCUCUUACGGGUGGCGAGUGGCGGACGGGUGAGGAAUACAUCGGAAUCUACUUUUUCGUGGGGGAUAACGUAGGGAACCUUACGCUAAUACCGCAUACGACCUACGGGUGAAAGCAGGGGAUCUUCGGACCUUGCGCGAUUGAAUGCGCCGAUGUCGGAUUAGCUAGUUGGCGGGGUAAAGGCCCACCAAGGCGACGAUCCGUAGCUGGUCUGAGAGGAUGAUCAGCCACACUGGAACUGAGACACGGUCCAGACUCCUACGGGAGGCGGCAGUGGGGAAUAUUGGACAAUGGGCGCAAGCCUGAUCCAGCCAUACCGCGUGGGUGAAGAAGGCCUUCGGGUUGUAAAGCCCUUUUGUUGGGAAAGAAAAGCAGCAGGUUAAUACCCCGCUGUUCUGACGGUACCCAAAGAAUAAGCACCGGCUAACUUCGUG